GUCGCCGUUCAACUGCGUCUGAUUUUAUCGCCUACUGGAGAGAGAGGAGUGGGAUCUUAUCUGAGAGCGUGCUUCAUAUGUAUGCCAGAAACAUCAGCACUGCGACUUCUUAUCUCGACGAAACGAACUACAGUACGUUCUUGCAAUGACAUUAUUGCAUUUGCGCUCUCCUCAUGGAAUGUAUUUCAAGAAAUAGGAAUCAGAGAACUAGGAAGAGUCCAUCGGGACCAGUUGUGCAUCAUCGUUGAUUGUAUCGCGUAAUACGAUCGCUUACUGUGACUUCCCGGAGUUUGAUCUCUGCAGUAGAAUUUGAAUACGUCAGAGAGAAGAGGGCUGUCAGAGUGUAUUACUCUUGUUAACCACAGAGAGCCCUCUCGUCAAACGAAGCCAGCGCGUUUCGAAAUAGAAAAAAGAACGUCGAUGGUAAAGAGAAUCAAUCAUGCAAGGUGAGAGUGGAACAAAGACAGACGGCUGCAAGAAAAAAAGGACGUCCGGGCACUUAAGUAUCCCGCUAAGAAGAAAAGAAAAGAAAAAAAGGUCAGUCUUCUUGUCUCUCCUCUCGUAAACACGGCUCCGCGUUCAGCCUGGAUAUCUAUAUUUCUCACCGUCCUCUUCCUAUUCCAUGCAUAUUCAUCCGAGGCGGUGGGACAAACUGGAUUUUCUCGGCGAGAGUACCCGCGGCAAAACGGGACAAAACUUUUUUCCUUGAUGAAAGAACGCUCAUCGCCUUUAUUACGCUCUGAUGCAAGACCCGUGUACGCAGUUUCUCUCCCACCGGAUUCGAAACUUCCACACCUGGCCGCCUCCGUUACGACCGUCCUCUCACCGGGUUUUCACCUCCUUUCCAUCUUAUACCAAUAAUGAAGAUCUUCCGCGUCGAGGUCUCUGGAGACGAGCCGCGGACUUCUCUGACGGACACCGAGACCGAUCGAAUACGCUCCGCGGGAAAUGAGAGGGAAGCACUCGUCUCGUUUAUCAAUUUCAUUUAAUCCAACAUCUCCUUGCCCGUUUGUCGCCGUCGGUAUAUUACAGAUUGUUUCAUCGAUCCCCGCGGGAGGCCGAUUGUUUGCCGGACGGAGGAAAUACCAGGCUUUCCAUUCCAUAAAAUUUGAUAAAGUAAGACGUCGGUUCCCGGGGAUAAGGGUAUUUGCCAUCGAGAAGUCGCGAGGAACUGCAGGAGGAGCCACGGAAGGAAAGAGAGGUAAAGGGCUUUGAGCUUUGCAGAGAAUCCGAGCUUCGCUGAGUUGCAUCAGAACGGAAGUGAACUUACACGUAACUGGAGAUCGAGGCGCAUAUUGCGAAUCAAACGCUCCUUGAAUUCAAUUGACGUAGAAUCCCUGUAAGCCGACAAGCUACUCAGUCGAACGCAGUCGAAACAGUUCGCCGUUACGUCGAUAACGCGAGUCCUAUUAAACAAUUUGUAACAC